rnacentral:lncRNA from 1 species
UCUGGUACCUAGACAGCGACAUCUCCAAAGAAAUUGUGGAUUAUCGUAUGAGGGUCCACGUCUUUGGUAAUAGCCCCUCACCUGCAGUGGCUAUUAAUUGUCUACACCAGUCAGUGCAGGGCGAAGAGUUCCAUGUCGACCCGGAUGUUAAGCACUUUGUGAUGCGCGACUUUUAUGUUGAUGACGCUUUGAAGUCUGUUCCUGAUGUUGAAGCUGCUGUUGACUUGCUUAAAAGGACACAGGACACACUCUCUAGAUCAAACCUGAGGCUACAUAAAAUCGCAGCAAACAACAAAGACGUCAUGAAGGCUUUUCCGUCCAGAGAUCAUGCAAGUGACCUUAAGGACUUAGACCUUGGAGUAGAUCUGCUGCCAGUGCAGCGCAGUCUUGGACUCAGUUGGGACCUCCAAACAGACUGCUUCCUCUUCAGUGUAUCAGAUGAGAUAAAACCUUCCACUCGACGAGGUGUCUUAUCCACGGUUAACAGCCUCUACGAUCCUCUUGGGUUUGUAGCACCAGUUACAAUCCAGGGCAAGGAUAUUCUUAGAGAACUCACUGCUGAGAACAGUGACUGGGAUGCGCCAUUAACCCAAGAAAUGGAGGACAUUUGGGUGUCAUGGAGAACCUCUUUAGCAGAGCUGUCCAAUUUUUCUAUCCCCAGACCCUAUACUGAAACCUCACCUUCAGCGGCUGUCAGAAGAGAAUUGUGUGUCUUUUCAGACGCAUCAACCAAGGCUAUUGCUGCAGUGGCAUAUAUUAAAGUCACAGAUGUUGCUGGCAACAGUCAUGUCGGGUUUGUGAUGGGCAAAGCCAAGCUGGCCCCCCGGCCUGAGCACACAGUACCAAGAUUGGAACUUUGUGCCGCAGUGCUUGCUGUCGAGUUGGCAGACCUAAUCUCAGGAGAACUAGACCUUCAGAUUGAUGCCAUAACCUAUUACUCAGACAGCAAGGUCGUUUUGGGCUACAUUUCUAAUGAAACCAGACGCUUUUAUGUCUACGUCAAUAAUCGUGUACUUCGCAUCCGAAAAUCCUCCCAUCCAGACCAGUGGCACUAUGUGCCAACAGACCAGAAUCCAGCAGAUCAUGCAACUCGUUUUGUUACUGCAAGCCAUUUGAGAGACACAAACUGGUUAAGUGGACCCAAAUUUCUGUCGGCG